rnacentral:rRNA from 1 species
UACGAAGGGUGCAAGCGUUAAUCGGAAUUACUGGGCGUAAAGGGUGCGUAGGCGGUUGUUUAAGUCUGUCGUGAAAUCCCCGGGCUCAACCUGGGAAUGGCGAUGGAAACUGGGCAGCUAGAGUGUGUCAGAGGAUGGUGGAAUUCCCGGUGUAGCGGUGAAAUGUGUAGAGAUCGGGAGGAACACCGGUGGCGAAGGCGGGUCUCUGGGCAUCUCCUGACGCUGAGGCGCGAAAGCGUGGGGAGCAAACGGG